rnacentral:rRNA from 1 species
GUGUCAGCAGCCGCGGUAAUACGUAGGGGGCGAGCGUUGUCCGGAAUUACUGGGCGUAAAGGGUGCGUAGGCGGCCGAUUAAGUUGGAUGUGAAAUACCCGUGCUCAACAUGGGGGGUGCAUUCAAAACUGGUUGGCUAGAGUACAGGAGAGGGAAGCGGAAUUCCUAGUGUAGCGGUGAAAUGCGUAGAUAUUAGGAGGAACACCAGUGGCGAAGGCGGCUUUCUGGACUGACACUGACUCUGAUGCACGAAAGCGUGGGGAGCAAACAGGAUUAGAUACCCUGGUAGUCCACGCUGUAAACGAUGAAUACUAGGUGUAGGGGGUAUGAACUCCCUCUGUGCCGCAGCAAACGCAAUAAGUAUUCCGCCUGGGGAGUACGGCCGCAAGGUUGAAACUUAAAUGAAUUGGCGG